UACGUAGGGUGCAAACGUUGCUCGGAAUUAUUGGGCGUAAAGCGCGCGUAGGCGGUUACUCAAGUCGGAUGUGAAAGCCCUCGGCUUAACUGAGGAAGUGCACCCGAAACUGAGUAGCUAGAGUACUAAAGAGGGUCGCGGAAUUCCCGGUGUAGAGGUGAAAUUCGUAGAUAUCGGGAGGAACACCGGUGGCGAAGGCGGCUCACUGGACCGGAACUGACGCUGAGGCGCGAAAGCGUGGGGAGCAAACGGG
rnacentral:rRNA from 1 species